rnacentral:rRNA from 1 species
CGGCGAGUGAAGCGGCAACAGCUCAAAUUUGAAAGCUGGCCCUUUUAGGGUCCGCGUUGUAAUUUGUAGAGGAUGAUUCGGCGAGGGCUCCCGCCUAAGUCCCCUGGAACGGGGCGUCAUAGAGGGUGAGAAUCCCGUAUGUGGUGGGCUGCCUUAGCCAUGUGAAUCUCCUUCGACGAGUCGAGUUGUUUGGGAAUGCAGCUCUAAAUGGGAGGUAAAUUUCUUCUAAAGCUAAAUACCGGCCAGAGACCGAUAGCGCACAAGUAGAGUGAUCGAAAGAUGAAAAGCACUUUGGAAAGAGAGUUAAAAAGUACGUGAAAUUGUUGAAAGGGAAGCGCUUGCAACAAGACUUGUCCGCAGUUGCUCAGCCGGUCUCCUGACCGGCGUACUCUUCUGCGGCCAGGCCAGCAUCAGUUCGGGCGGUCGGAUAAAGACCUCGGGAAUGUAGCUCCUCUCGGGGAGUGUUAUAGCCCGGGGUGGAAUGCGGCCAGCCUGGACUGAGGAUCUCGCUUCGGCAAGGAUGCUGGCGUAAUGGUUGUAAGCGGC